rnacentral:rRNA from 1 species
AGUGAACGCUGGCGGUAGGCCUAACACAUGCAAGUCGAACGGCAGCACAGUAAGAGCUUGCUCUUACGGGUGGCGAGUGGCGGACGGGUGAGGAAUACAUCGGAAUCUACUUUUUCGUGGGGGAUAACGUAGGGAAACUUACGCUAAUACCGCAUACGACCUACGGGUGAAAGCAGGGGAUCUUCGGACCUUGCGCGAUUGAAUUAGCCGAUGUCGGAUUAGCUAGUUGGCUGGGUAAAGGCCCACCAAGCCGACGAUCCGUAGCUGGUCUGAGAGGAUGAUCAGCCACACUGGAACUGAGACACGGUCCAGACUCCUACGGGAGGCAGCAGUGGGGAAUAUUGGACAAUGGGCGCAAGCCUGAUCCAGCCAUACCGCGUGGGUGAAGAAGGCCUUCGGGUUGUAAAGCCCUGUUGUUGGGAAAGAAAAGCAGCAGGUUAAUACCCCGCUGUUCUGACGGUACCCAAAGAAUAAGCACCGGCUAACUUCGUG